rnacentral:lncRNA from 1 species
UUAAACAAAUUACAAACUUUAACAACUUCUAUAAAAUACAUAACAUCAUACCUGACAAACAACUGAAAAUAAUCAAAACACCUAACCACCCACAUAAAUAAAUAUUACAUCAAUCUCAUACAAGAAGAUGAACAUGCAUUUUCGUUAGGGGAUUUUCAACAACGAACAACAACUUAUCCCCAUCUUUCAAUCCCAUAUCUUCCAAACAUUCGAA